rnacentral:rRNA from 1 species
CCCUUAGAUGUUCUGGGCCGCACACGCGCUACACUGAAGGAGGCAGCGUGUACUCCUGGAUCGAAAGAUUUGGGUAACCCGCGAAUCUCCUUCGUGCUAGGGAUUGAGGUUUGCAAUUAUCCUUCAUGAACGAGGAAUUCCCAGUAAGUGCAAGUCAUAAGCUUGCGCUGACUACGUCCCUGCCCUUUGUACACACCGCCCGUCGCACCUACCGAUCGAAGGUAAUGAUGAGCCCUCAGGAUUGGCGCUUGGAUCGGGCAACCGAACCUUGCACCGAGAAUCUGUGCAAAUCCCUACCUUUAGAGGAAGGUGAAGUCGUAACA